AGUUUGAAGAUCUACUAUUAGUAUUUAUUGAUUCAAGGUCCAGUCAAGUUAUUACUAUCUAUAGGUCAGUGAACAUUACAUUGAUAUUGUAUUGGAAAGUUUAAUGAUUUUUUUAUCAAAUGAAAAUCAGAAAUAUAUUGAAAUUGUAAAUGUGAAUUAAAGGGGAGAUAAUCCAGAGCUAUAGGAUUCAUUCUAAAUAGUACUAGACCAGUGUUUGUAUUAAAGGGGAGAUAAUCCAGAGCUAUAGGAUUCAUUCUAAAUAGCACUAGACCAGUGUUUGUAUUAAAGGGGAGA
rnacentral:lncRNA from 1 species